rnacentral:rRNA from 1 species
AUUCCAGCUCCAAUAGCGUAUAUUAAAGUUGUUGCGGUUAAAAAGCUCGUAGUUGGAUUUCUGUCGAAAACAACCGGUCCGCUCUAUGAGCGUGUAUCUGGUCUGGUUUUGGCAUCCUCGUGGGGAACAGCUCUGUGCUUGAUUGCAUGGACUGGUAUUCACGACUUUUACUUUGAGGAAAUUAGAGUGUUCACGGCAGGCAAGCGCCUUGAAUACAUUAGCAUGGAAUAAUAAUAUAGGACUUUGGUUUUAUUUUGUUGGUUUCUAGAACUAAAGUAAUGAUUAAUAGGGAUAAUUGGGGGCAUUUGUAUUAACGCGUCAGAGGUGGAAUUCUUGGAUUGCGUUACGACAAACUACUGCGAAAGCAUUUGCCAAGGAUGUUUUCAUUG